UAUUCUAAGUGCAGGAUGGGGGUCAGCCCAGUGCCACAAGUGGUUAAGCGCGCACGCUCCGCUGUGGCGGCCCGGGGUUCGCCGGUUCAGAUCCC